rnacentral:rRNA from 1 species
GGACGAACGCUGGCGGCGUGCUUAACACAUGCAAGUCGAGCGGAGAAUAUAGCAAUAUAUUCUAGCGGCGGACGGGUGAGUAACGCGUGGGCAAUCUGCCUCAUACAGGGGGAUAACACUGGGAAACUAGUGCUAAUACCGCAUAAAAUAGUGAAGUGGCAUCACUUUACUAUCAAAGGAGCAAUCCGGUGUGAGAUGAGCCCGCGUCCGAUUAGCUAGUUGGAGGGGUAACGGCCCACCAAGGCGACGAUCGGUAGCCGAACUGAGAGGUUGAUCGGCCACAUUGGGACUGAGACACGGCCCAGACUCCUACGGGAGGCAGCAGUGGGGAAUAUUGCGCAAUGGGGGGAAACCCUGACGCAGCAACGCCGCGUGAAGGAUGAAGGUUUUCGGAUUGUAAACUUCUUUGAUUGGGGACGAUAAUGACGGUACCCAAAAAACAAGCCACGGCUAACUACGUGCCAGCAGCAGC